rnacentral:sRNA from 1 species
CCAUCAGACAGGUGCAGGCAAAUGGAGGCCGACAUGUUCUUCGAUAAUGUGGUUAUCGCUGGAGUCAUUACAGUCGGCCUGAUGCUGCUGUUCUUUGUCGGAUUCGGAAUUUUCAUCUGGAAGGACUCGAACAAGCGCAAACAGCGCUGAUUCUUCCGGUACACGAGCACGCAAGGCAUUUAGGGCGACUUCGGUCGCCCCUUUUUUUG